AAUCCGAAGCAGGAAGUAGAAGAAAUCAGGAAGUGCCAUGCUCUAUACCAGACCAGACUGUAACUCAACAGCCAAGCACUGACCAAUUGGUCCCUUCAGCUGAGGAUAAAGACAAUACCGAGCCAUAAUGGAUGCCUGUGGAAAGACGGGUAGAGGUCGAAGUCGAUGGGAGUAUAUGGAGCGGAU